rnacentral:rRNA from 1 species
UACGUAGGGUGCAAGCGUUGUCCGGAAUUAUUGGGCGUAAAGAGCUCGUAGGCGGCUUGUCGCGUCUGUUGUGAAAGCCCGGGGCUUAACCCCGGGUCUGCAGUGGAUACGGGCAGGCUAGAGGCAGGUAGGGGAGAACGGAAUUCCCGGGUGUAGCGGUGAAAUGCGCAGAUAUCGGGAGGAACACCGGUGGCGAAGGCGGUUCUCUGGGCCUGUACUGACGCUGAGGAGCGAAGGCGUGGGGAGCGAAACAGG